AACGAACGCUGGCGGCAGGCCUAACACAUGCAAGUCGAGCGCGCCCUCCGGGGUUAGCGGCUGACGGGUGAGUAACGCGUGGGAACGUGCCCUUUUCUACGUAUUCUCCUCGGGAAACUGAGAGUAAUACCGCAUACGCCCUUUGGGGGAAAGUUUUCUCGGAAAAGGAUCGGCCCGCGGUGGAUUAGGCUGUUGGUUGGGUAAUGGCCUACCAAGCCGACGAUUCAUAGCUGGUUUGAGAGGAUGAGCAGACACACUGGGGCUGAGACACGGCCCAGACUCCUACGGGAGGCAGCAGUGGGGGAUCUAAGAAAAUGGGGGCAACGAUGAUCGAGCCAUGGCGGGUGAGUGAUGAAGGCCGGAGGGUUGUAAAGCACUUUCAGAUGGGAAGAUAAUGACGGUACCAGCAGAAGAAGCCCCGGCUAACUCCGUG
rnacentral:rRNA from 1 species